GACGUAGGGUGCGAGCGUUGUCCGGAUUUAUUGGGCGUAAAGAGCUCGUAGGCGGCUUGUUGCGUCGACUGUGAAAACCCGCGGCUUAACCGCGGGCUUGCAGUUGAUACGGGCAGGCUAGAGUUCGGUAGGGGAGACUGGAAUUCCUGGUGUAGCGGUGAAAUGCGCAGAUAUCAGGAGGAACACCGGUGGCGAAGGCGGGUCUCUGGGCCGAUACUGACGCUGAUGUGCGAAAGCGUGGGGAGCAAACAGG
rnacentral:rRNA from 1 species